rnacentral:precursor_RNA from 10 species
GUGGUCAACAAUUUCUGUCACUAGCCUGGUACGCCUGUUAUUUUGACUCAUACCUUAUAUAUUUGUACAGGUGAGCAAAGUUUCAGGUGUGUUAGUCUGUGGCCAUACAGCGCUGGAACCUU